rnacentral:tRNA from 1 species
ACUUAAAUAAUUUAAUAAAAAUAUUGAUUUGUGGGAUCAAAAAUAUGAUAUUUAACAUCAUUUUAAGUU